rnacentral:rRNA from 1 species
GCCUAACACACUGCAAGUCGAGCGGCAGCACGGGAAGCUUGCUUCCUGGUGGCGAGCGGCGGACGGGUGAGUAAUGCAUAGGAAUCUGCCCGGUAGUGGGGGAUAACCUGGGGAAACCCAGGCUAAUACCGCAUACGUCCUACGGGAGAAAGCAGGGGCUCUUCGGACCUUGCGCUAUCGGAUGAGCCUAUGUCGGAUUAGCUGGUUGGUGAGGUAAUGGCUCACCAAGGCGACGAUCCGUAGCUGGUCUGAGAGGAUGAUCAGCCACAUCGGGACUGAGACACGGCCCGAACUCCUACGGGAGGCAGCAGUGGGGAAUAUUGGACAAUGGGCGCAAGCCUGAUCCAGCCAUGCCGCGUGUGUGAAGAAGGCCCUCGGGUUGUAAAGCACUUUCAGUGCGGAAGAAAGCCUUCCGGUUAAUACCCGGGAGGAAGGACAUCACCCACAGAAGAAGCACCGGCUAACUCCGUGCCAGCAGCCGCGGUAAUACGGAGGGUGCGAGCGUUAAUCGGAAUUACUGGGCGUAAAGCGCGCGUAGGUGGCUUGAUAAGCCGGUUGUGAAAGCCCCGGGCUCAACCUGGGAACGGCAUCCGGAACUGUCAGGCUAGAGUGCAGGAGAGGAAGGUAGAAUUCCCGGUGUAGCGGUGAAAUGCGUAGAGAUCGGGAGGAAUACCAGUGGCGAAGGCGGCCUUCUGGACUGACACUGACACUGAGGUGCGAAAGCGUGGGUAGCAAACAGGAUUAGAUACCCUGGUAGUGCACGCCGUAAACGAUGUCGACUAGCCGUUGGGUCCUUCGCGGACUUUGUGGCGCAGUUAACGCGAUAAGUCGACCGCCUGGGGAGUACGGCCGCAAGGUUAAAACUCAAAU